GACGAACGCUGGCGGCGUGCUUAACACAUGCAAGUCGAACGGAAAGGCCCCUUUGGGGGUACUCGAGUGGCGAACGGGUGAGUAACACGUGAGUAACCUGCCCUUGACUUCGGGAUAACUUCAGGAAACUGGGGCUAAUACCGGAUAGGAAUCCUUGCUGCAUGGUGGGGGUUGGAAAGCUUCGGCGGUUUUGGAUGGACUCGCGGCUUAUCAGCUUGUUGGUGGGGUAGUGGCUUACCAAGGCUUUGACGGGUAGCCGGCCUGAGAGGGCGACCGGCCACAUUGGGACUGAGAUACGGCCCAGACUCCUACGGGAGGCAGCAGUGGGGAAUAUUGUACAAUGGGCGGAAGCCUGAUGCAGCAACGCCGCGUGCGGGAGGACGGCCUUCGGGUUGUAAACCGCUUUCAGCAGGGGCGAAGCUUGUGGUGACGGUACCUGCAGAAGAAGCACCGGCUAACUACGUG
rnacentral:rRNA from 1 species